rnacentral:tRNA from 1 species
GGCUUCGUGGUGUCAACAGCAGCAUGCUCGACUUUUAAUCGAGGCGGUGCGAGUGCAACUCUCGCCGAAGCCA